CACUUCUAAGGAAGGCAGCAGGCGCGCAAAUUACCCAAUCCUGACUCAGGGAGGUAGUGACAAGAAAUAACAAUAAACCGGCUUAUGCCGGUUUAAUUGGAAUGAGUACAAUUUAAACAUCUUAACGAGGAACAAUUGGAGGGCAAGUCUGGUGCCAGCAGCCGCGGUAAUUCCAGCUCCAAUAGCGUAUACUAAAGUUGUUGCAGUUAAAAAGCUCGUAGUUGGAUUUCUGUGGGGACGGAGCGGCCGGCCGCACAUCGCGGUUCGAGCUAGCGCUUUCCCUACAUCCUGCCGCGAACCGUGCUACCAUUAAUUUGGUGGCGCCGGGGAUCGGCUCGAUUACUUUGAGAAAAAUAGAGUGUUCAAAGCAGGCCACAUGCCUUGAAUAAGUUAGCAUGGAAUAAUAACUAAGGACUUCGGUUCUAUUUUGUUGGUGUUCGGGACUGAAGUAAUGAUUGAUAGGGACAGUUGGGGCGGUCUGUAUUCCAAAGCGAGAGGUGAAAUUCUUAGACCUUCGGAAGACAAACAGCUGCGAAAGCGUUCCGCAAGGAUGUUCCCUUUGAUCAAGAACGAAAGUUGGGGGAUCGAAGACGAUCAGAUACCGUCGUAGUCUCAACUAUAAACUAUACCAGCUAGGGAUCGGCCAACGUUAUUUUAUACCGACUUGGUCGGCACCUUAUGAGAAAUCAAAGCAUCUGGGUUCCGGGGGGAGUAUGGUCGCAAGGCUGAAACUUAAAGGAAUUGACGGAAGGGCACCACCAGCCGUGGAGCCUGUGGCUUAAUUUGACUCAACACGGGAAAACUUACCAGGUCCAGACAUAGUAAGGAUUGACAGAUUGAUAGCUCUUUCUUGAUUCUGUGGGUGGUGGUGCAUGGCCGUUCUUAGUUGGUGGAGUGAUUUGUCUGGUUAAUUCCGUUAACGAACGAGACCCCAGCCUGCUAAAUAGCGCGCGUGAGCUUUGCUCGCGGCGAGCUUCUUAGAGGGACUAUGAUGCGCGAUAGCACAUGGAAGUUUGGGGCAAUAACAGGUCUGUGAUGCCCUUAGAUGUUCUGGGCCGCACACGGGCUACACUGGCGCCUGCAACGAGCAUAUCAGCUGGCCCGAGAGGGUCUUGGCUAAUCUUUUGAACCGGCGCCGUGCUUGGGAUUGACCUUUGCAAUUGUUGGUCAUGCAACGAGGAAUGCCUUGUAAACGCGAGUCAUCAGCUCGCAUUGAAUACGUCCCUGCCCUUUGUACACACCGCCCGUCGCUCCUACCGAUGAAUGUUCCGAUGAAAUUUUCGGAGAGCACCUGUGAACUUGGCUCCGCCUUGCGAACGGGAGGCUCAAAGUCACUUAAAUCUGAACAUUUCGAGG
rnacentral:rRNA from 1 species